AGAGUUUGAUCAUGGCUCAGAUUGAACGCUGGCGGCAGGCCUAACACAUGCAAGUCGAGCGGUAGAGAGGUGCUUGCACCUCUUGAGAGCGGCGGACGGGUGAGUAAAGCCUAGGAAUCUGCCUGGUAGUGGGGGAUAACGCUCGGAAACGGACGCUAAUACCGCAUACGUCCUACGGGAGAAAGCAGGGGACCUUCGGGCCUUGCGCUAUCAGAUGAGCCUAGGUCGGAUUAGCUAGUUGGUGAGGUAAUGGCUCACCAAGGCGACGAUCCGUAACUGGUCUGAGAGGAUGAUCAGUCACACUGGAACUGAGACACGGUCCAGACUCCUACGGGAGGCAGCAGUGGGGAAUAUUGGACAAUGGGCGAAAGCCUGAUCCAGCCAUGCCGCGUGUGUGAAGAAGGUCUUCGGAUUGUAAAGCACUUUAAGUUGGGAGGAAGGGCAUUAACCUAAUACGUUAGUGUUUUGACGUUACCGACAGAAUAAGCACCGGCUAACUCUGUGCCAGCAGCCGCGGUAAUACAGAGGGUGCAAGCGUUAAUCGGAAUUACUGGGCGUAAAGCGCGCGUAGGUGGUUCGUUAAGUUGGAUGUGAAAUCCCCGGGCUCAACCUGGGGACUGCAUUCAAAACUGUCGAGCUAGAGUAU
rnacentral:rRNA from 1 species